AGCACCAUCCCUUUUUGCAGGAGUCACCCUCUUUGGUUUCUGAAAUGCGGACACACGUUACAAUGGAAACGAGCACUUGGGGCUCCCUGUCUCGGAAAAGUUGUUGAAUCAAUGCACGUUGAUUGCUUCAGCAAUCUAGGAAAUACUAUGCCCAACAAAGCAAUUUGAAAUUCCAAACCUGUGACCACUGGACAAGAUCACCUUUCUCCCACUGAGAAGAAGAUCAGCGUUGGCUCGGGCCAAGUCUGGGAGACAGACAAGGCCUCCUUUCAACAUCGUGCCUCCAGGGGAACCAGGCCAAGUAUCGGCCCUCCAGAGACAGCUGCAGCCCUUGGAGGCCUCCCCACUGAGUCCACACCCCUGGCCCAGGGCACUCAGGCUAGCUGACCGGC
rnacentral:lncRNA from 1 species